rnacentral:rRNA from 1 species
AUACGUAGGUGACAAGCGUUAUCCGGAUUUACUGGGCGUGAAGGGCGUGUAGGCGGUCUUGCAAGUCAGAAGUGAAAUUCCUGAGCUCAACUCGGGCGCUGCUUCUGAAACUGCAGGACUUGAGUGCUGGAGGGGAUAGCGGAAUUCCUAGUGGAGCGGUAAAAUGCGCAGAUAUUAGGAAGAACACCGGUGGCGAAGGCGUCUAUCUGGACAGUAACUGGCGCUGAGGCGCGAAAGCGUGGGGAGCAAACAGGAUUAGAUACCCGGGUAGUCCACGCCGUAAACGAUGAAUACUAGGUGUAGGGGGUAUCGACUCCCUCUGUGCCGCAGUUAACACAAUAAGUAUUCCGCCUGGGGAGUACGGCCGCAAGGUUGAAACUUAAAGGAAUUGACGGGG